AACGAACGCUGGCGGCGUGCUUAACACAUGCAAGUCGAACGGAAACGCACUACGUUUUUGCUCUUCUCGAUUGGCGAACGCGUGAGUAACACGUAAACAACCUACCCUUGACUUUGGGAUAACUUCACGUAACUAGGGCUAAUCCCAGAUAGCAUCUCCUCUUCCAUUGAACGGGUGGGAAAUUUUCGGCUGUCGGGGUUGGACUCGCGGCUUAUCAGCUUGCUGGUGGGGUAGUGGCUUACCAAGGAUUUGACGGGUAGCCGGCCUGAGAGGGUGACGGGCCACAUUGGGACUGAGGAACGGCCCAGACUCAUACGGGAGGCAGCAGUGGGGAAUAUUGCACAAUGGGCGGAAGCCUGAUGCAGCAACGCCGCGUGCGGGAUGACGGCCUUCGGGUUGUAAACCGCUUUCGCCUGUGACGAAGAGUGAGUGACGGUAAUGGGUAAAGAAGCACCGGCUAACUACGUG
rnacentral:rRNA from 1 species